rnacentral:misc_RNA from 1 species
UACGGAGGAUCCAAGCGUUAUCCGGAAUCAUUGGGUUUAAAGGGUCCGUAGGCGGGUUAAUAAGUCAGGGGUGAAAGCCUGCAGCUCAACUGUAGAAUUGCCAUUGAUACUGUUAACCUUGAGGAAGUAUGAAGUGGUUAGAAUAUGUAGUGUAGCGGUGAAAUGCAUAGAUAUUACAUAGAAUACCGAUGGCGAAGGCAGAUCACUAAUAAUUCACUGACGCUGAGGGACGAAAGCGUGGGGAGCAAACAGG